GUAGUAUUCCCUCCGUCCCAAAAUUCUUGUCUUAUAUUUGUUUAGAUACGGAUGUAUCUAACACUAAAAUGUAGCUAGAUACAUCCGUAUUUAGACAAAUUUAAGACAAGAAUUUUAGAAUAGAGAGAGUACAAA
rfam:Triticum aestivum genome assembly, contig: Triticum_aestivum_CS42_TGACv1_scaffold_404489_5BL